rnacentral:rRNA from 1 species
UACGGAGGGAGCUAGCGUUGUUCGGAAUUACUGGGCGUAAAGCGCGCGUAGGCGGCUUUGUACGUUAGAGGUGAAAGCCCGGGGCUCAACCCCGGAAUUGCCUUUAAGACUGCAUCGCUUGAAUCCGGGAGAGGUGAGUGGAAUUCCGAGUGUAGAGGUGAAAUUCGUAGAUAUUCGGAGGAACACCAGUGGCGAAGGCGGCUCACUGGACAGGCAUUGACGCUGAGGUGCGAAAGCGUGGGGAGCAAACAGG